rnacentral:rRNA from 1 species
GACGAACGCUGGCGGCGUGCUUAACACAUGCAAGUCGAGCGAUGAAACUUCCUUCGGGAAGUGGAUUAGCGGCGGACGGGUGAGUAACACGUGGGUAACCUGCCUCAAAGUGGGGGAUAGCCUUCCGAAAGGAAGAUUAAUACCGCAUAAUAUGAGAAAAUCGCAUGAUUUUCUUAUCAAAGAUUUAUUGCUUUGAGAUGGACCCGCGGCGCAUUAGCUAGUUGGUAAGGUAACGGCUUACCAAGGCAACGAUGCGUAGCCGACCUGAGAGGGUGAUCGGCCACAUUGGAACUGAGACACGGUCCAGACUCCUACGGGAGGCAGCAGUGGGGAAUAUUGCGCAAUGGGGGGAAACCCUGACGCAGCAACGCCGCGUGGGUGAUGAAGGUUUUCGGAUUGUAAAGCCCUGUUUUCUGGGACGAUAAUGACGGUACCAGAGGAGGAAGCCACGGCUAACUACGUGC